GGGUUGUAAAGUACUUUCAGUAGGGAGGAAGGCAGUGUCGUUAAUAGCGGCAUUGUUUGACGUUACCUACAGAAGAAGCACCGGCUAACUCCGUGCCAGCAGCCGCGGUAAUACGGAGGGUGCGAGCGUUAAUCGGAAUUACUGGGCGUAAAGCGCAUGCAGGCGGUCUGUUAAGCAAGAUGUGAAAGCCCGGGGCUCAACCUCGGAACAGCAUUUUGAACUGGCAGACUAGAGUCUUGUAGAGGGGGGUAGAAUUUCAGGUGUAGCGGUGAAAUGCGUAGAGAUCUGAAGGAAUACCGGUGGCGAAGGCGGCCCCCUGGACAAAGACUGACGCUCAGAUGCGAAAGCGUGGGGAGCAAACAGGAUUAGAUACCCUGGUAGUCCACGCCGUAAACGAUGUCUACUUGGAGGUUGUGGCCUUGAGCCGUGGCUUUCGGAGCUAACGCGUUAAGUAGACCGCCUGGGGAGUACGGUCGCAAGAUUAAAACUCAAAUGAAUUGACGGGGGCCCGCACAAGCGGUGGAGCAUGUGGUUUAAUUCGAUGCAACGCGAAGAACCUUACCUACUCUUGACAUCCAGAGAACUUUCCAGAGAUGGAUUGGUGCCUUCGGGAACUCUGAGACAGGUGCUGCAUGGCUGU
rnacentral:rRNA from 1 species